rnacentral:rRNA from 1 species
CACGCCGUAAACUAUGAUCACUCGCUGUUGGCGAUACACAGUCAGCGGCUAAGCAAAAGCAUUAAGUGAUCCACCUGGGGAGUACGGCCGCAAGGCUGAAACUCAAAGGAAUUGACGGGGGCCCGCACAAGCGGAGGAACAUGUGGUUUAAUUCGAUGAUACGCGAGGAACCUUACCUGGGCUUAAAUGUGGAGUGCAUUGGUGAGAAAUCAUCAUUUUCUUCGGAACUCUCUGCAAGGUGC